CUUGGUCAUUUAGAGGAAGUAAAAGUCGUAACAAGGUUUCCGUAGGUGAACCUGCGGAAGGAUCAUUAGUGAAUUGCUCUCUGAGCGUUAAACUAUAUCCAUCUACACCUGUGAACUGUUGAUUGACUUAGGUCAAUUACUUUUACAAACAUUGUGUAAUGAACGUCAUGUUAUUAUAACAAAAAUAACUUUCAACAACGGAUCUCUUGGCUCUCGCAUCGAUGAAGAACGCAGCGAAAUGCGAUAAGUAAUGUGAAUUGCAGAAUUCAGUGAAUCAUCGAAUCUUUGAACGCAACUUGCGCUCUCUGGUAUUCCGGAGAGCAUGCCUGUUUGAGUAUCAUGAAAUCUCAACCAUUAGGGUUUCUUAAUGGCUUGGAAUUGGGUGUUGCCAGUCGCCUGGCUCGCCUUAAAAGAGUUAGCGUGUUUAACUUGUCUAUCUGGCGUAAUAAGUUUCGCUGGUGUCGGCUUGAGAAGUACGCUUCUAAUCGUCCUCGGACAAUUCCUUUGACUCUGGCCUCAAAUCAGGUAGGCCUACCCGCUGAACUUAAGCAUAUCAAUAAGCGGAGGA
rnacentral:rRNA from 1 species